GCCCUAGGGGCGCAGCAGUAGGGAAUCUUCCACAAUGGACGAAAGUCUGAUGGAGCAACGCCGCGUGAGUGAAGAAGGGUUUCGGCUCGUAAAGCUCUGUUGGUAGUGAAGAAAGAUAGAGGUAGUAACUGGCCUUUAUUUUACGGUAAUUACUUAGAAAGUCACGGCUAACUACGUGCCCGCCGCCGCGGUAAUACGUAGGUGGCAAGCGUUUUCCGGGUUUAUUGGGCGUAAAGCGAGUGCAGGCGGUU
rnacentral:rRNA from 1 species